UGGGGGAUAUUGCACAAUGGGCGAAAGCCUGAUGCAGCGACGCCGCGUGGGGGAUGAAGGCCUUCGGGUUGUAAACUUCUUUUGCUCUGAACAAGGCGCACCAUGGGGUGUGUUGAGUGUAGGGGUUGAUUAGCGCCGGCUAACUACGUGCCAGCAGCCGCGGUAAUACGUAGGUCGCGAGCGUUGUCCGGAAUUAUUGGGCGUAAAGGGCUUGUAGGUGGCUGGUUGCGUCUGUCGUGAAAGCUCAUGGCUUAACUGUGGGUUUGCGGUGGGUACGGGCUGGCUAGAGUGCAGUAGGAGAGGCUGGAAUUCCUGGUGUAGCGGUGGAAUGCGCAGAUAUCAGGAGGAAUACCGGUGGCGAAGGCGGGACUCUGGGCUGUUACUGACACUGAGGAGCGAAAGCAUGGGGAGCGAACAGG
rnacentral:rRNA from 1 species